GAAACGACUGCUAAGACUGGAUAGGAGACAAGAAGGCAUCUUCUUGUUUUUAAAAGACCUAGCAAUAGGUAUGCUUAGGUAGGAGCUUGCGUCACAUUAGUUAGUUGGUGGGGUAAAGGCCUACCAAGACUAUGAUGUGUAGCCGGGCUGAGAGGUUGAACGGCCACAUUGGGACUGAGACACGGCCCAAACUCCUACGGGAGGCAGCAGUAGGGAAUUUUCGGCAAUGGAGGAAACUCUGACCGAGCAACGCCGCGUGAACGAUGAAGUAUUUCGGUACGUAAAGUUCUUUUAUUAGGGAAGAAUAAAUGAUGGAAAAAUCAUUCUGACGGUACCUAAUGAAUAAGCCCCGGCUAACUAUGUGCCAGCAGCCGCGGUAAUACAAAAGGGGCAAGCGUUAUCCGGAAAUUAUUGGGCGUAAAGGGUGCGUAGGCGGUUAAAUAAGUUUGUGGUCUAAGUGCAAUGCUCAACAUUGUGAUGCUAUAAAAACUGUUUAGCUAGAGUAAGAUAGAGGCAAGUGGAAUUCCAUGUGUAGUGGUAAAAUGCGUAAAUAUAUGGAGGAACACCAGUAGCGAAGGCGGCUUGCUGGGUCUUUACUGACGCUGAGGCACGAAAGCGUGGGGAGCAAACAGGAUUAGAUACCCUGGUAGUCCACGCCGUAAACGAUGAGUACUAAACGUUGGGUAAAACCAGUGUUGAAGUUAACACAUUAAGUACUCCGCCUGAGUAGUACGUACGCAAGUAUGAAACUUAAAGGAAUUGACGGGACUCCGCACAAGCGGUGGAUCAUAUUGUUUAAUUCGAAGGUACCCGAAAAACCUCACCAGGUCUUGACAUGCUUCUGCAAAGCUGUAGAAACACAGUGGAGGUUAUCAGUUGCACAGGUGGUGCAUGGUUGUCGUCAGCUCGUGCCGUGAGAUGUUGGGUUAAGUCCCGCAACGAGCGCAACCCUUUAUUGUUAGUUACCAGCACGUAAUGGUGGGGACUUUAGCAAGACCGCCAGUGAUAAAUUGGAGGAAGGUGGGGACGACGUCAAAUCAUCAUGCCCCUUAUGACCUGGGCUACAAACGUGAUACAAUGGCUGUUACAAAAGGGUAGCUGAAGCGCAAGUUUUUGGCGAAUCUCAAAAAAACAGUCUCAGUUCGGAUUGAAGUCUGCAACUCGACUUCAUGAAGUUGGAAUCGCUAGUAAUCGCGAAUCAGCAUGUCGCGGUGAAUACGUUCGCGGGGUUUGUACACACCGCCCGUCA
rnacentral:rRNA from 1 species